UUGGGUGAAAUUCAUGUGGGUACCACACAUUGGAAAUGAUCCCACAUAAAGUGGUGAGACCCACAUGAGUUUCACCCAA
rnacentral:pre_miRNA from 1 species